GUGCUCACUUCAACAGCACAUACACUAAAACUGGAACGAUACAGAGAAGAUUAGCAUGGUCCUUGCACAAGGAUGACACGCAAAUUUGUGUCAUCCAUAUUUUUUGU
rfam:Otolemur garnettii contig094259, whole genome shotgun sequence.